GACGAACGCUGGCGGCGUGCCUAAUACAUGCAAGUCGAGCGAAGUUUUUCUGGUGCUUGCACUAGAAAAACUUAGCGGCGAACGGGUGAGUAACACGUAAAGAACCUGCCUCAUAGACUGGGACAACUAUUGGAAACGAUAGCUAAUACCGGAUAACAGUAUUUCUCGCAUGAGAGAUAUUUAAAAGUUGGUUAUGCUAACACUAUGAGAUGGCUUUGCGGUGCAUUAGCUAGUUGGUGGGGUAAAGGCCCACCAAGGCGACGAUGCAUAGCCGACUUGAGAGGGUGAUCGGCCACACUGGGACUGAGACACGGCCCAGACUCCUACGGGAGGCAGCAGUAGGGAAUCUUCCGCAAUGGGCGAAAGCCUGACGGAGCAACGCCGCGUGAGUGAAGAAGGAUUUCGGUUCGUAAAGCUCUGUUGUUAGGGAAGAAUGGAUAUGUAGUAACUAUACAUGUAAGAGACGGUACCUAACCAGAAAGCCACGGCUAACUACGUG
rnacentral:rRNA from 1 species